ACAAGGCAGGAGCAUUCAGGCAUUGUAGCAGCAGCAGCAGCAGAAUUUCUCCGAGCUGUAGUCUCUCCUUGCCUUGAGCCCUCCUCCCACGUUACUACUAAAAUGGAGGGAUCCUACGCUCCAUCUGCGCCAACAAUGGAGAUCGACAUGAUGGCUCAGUUUCUUGGGGCGGCUGAUGAUCACUGCUUCACCUACGAGUAUGAGCAUGUGGAUGAGUCCAUGGAAGCAAUAGCAGCCCUGUUCUUGCCUACCCUUGACACCGACUCCGCCAACUUCUCCUCUAGCUGUUUCAACUAUGCUGUCCCUCCACAGUGCUGGCCUCAGCCAGACCAUAGCUCUAGCGUUACCAGUUUGCUUGAUCCAGCCGAGAACUUUGAGUUUCCAGUCAGGGACCCGCUCCCCCCAAGCGGCUUCGAUCCACAUUGCGCUGUCGCCUACCUCACUGAGGAUUCGAGCCCUCUGCAUGGCAAACGUUCAUCAGUCAUUGAGGAAGAAGCAGCCAACGCCGCACCUGCUGCUAAGAAGAGGAAGGCUGGUGCUAGUGCUACCACCAAGGGAUCAAAGAAAUCCAGGAAGGCGAGCAAAAAGGAUAACAUCGGCGACGCCGACGAUGAUGGCGGCUAUGCCUGUGUUGACACGCAAAGCUCCAGUAGCUGCACCUCCGAGGACGGGAACUUCGAAGGAAAUACGAAUUCAAGCUCCAAGAAGACCUGCGCCAGGGCCAGCCGCGGAGCAGCAACUGAACCUCAGAGUCUCUAUGCAAGGGUAAAAGAGGAGAGAGAGGAUCAACGAAAGGUUGAGAAUCUUGCAGAACUUGGUUCCAAAUGGAACAAAAGUUGACAUUAGCACGAUGCUCGAGGAAGCGGCGCAGUAUGUCAAGUUUUUACAGCUCCAGAUUAAGCUGUUGAGCUGUGACGACACAUGGAUGUAUGCGCCAAUCGCGUACAAUGGAAUUAACAUCGGCAAUGUUGAUCUGAACAUCUACUCUCUGCAAAAGUAAUAAAAAUGAAUCUCUAUCCGGAGCUACGGUGCUAGGUUCUAACAUUGAAUCGCGUAGGAAUCAUUUUGUUGUGGAUCAUAUGGUCCCCUGUAUCAUACUUGUAAUGAAGCACCUUUUUCAGUUUCUUUUGUUUUUGCUUCUUGGUAUCUCCAACAAAGGCAUACAAGGAAGUUGCUGUGACCA